AUGGGUUUCCAGACUGUUCAAGUAUUAAGUUCUUCUUCUCAUUCUAGGAGGAGAAGGAUGCUCUAUUACUACGGCUUGGAAUCACCACUUGUGAGUGUGUGGACAUCUCAAAAUCCAGAGCAGAGUUUAUUUGGACGUGGAUUAUACAAGCUACAAGGAAGGAAAAAGUGUUCCUUUAUUGACUGGUAUGAUGAGCAAUUUCUAGACUGUUCACAGGAAAUGAUUAACUCAGUAUUAAAUAAGGUUAAUGAUUUGAAGUAG